GAUGAACGCUGGCGGCGUGCCUAAUACAUGCAAGUCGAGCGAAUGGAUUAAGAGCUUGCUCUUAUGAAGUUAGCGGCGGACGGGUGAGUAACACGUGGGUAACCUGCCCAUAAGACUGGGGUAACUCCGGGAAACCGGGGCUAAUACCGGAUAACAUUUUGAACCGCAUGGUUCGAAAUUGAAAGGCGGCUUCGGCUGUCACUUAUGGAUGGACCCGCGUCGCAUUAGCUAGUUGGUGAGGUAACGGCUCACCAAGGCAACGAUGCGUAGCCGACCUGAGAGGGUGAUCGGCCACACUGGGACUGAAACACGGCCCAGACUCCUACGGGAGGCAGCAGUAGGGAAUCUUCCGCAAUGGACGAAAGUCUGACGGAGCAACGCCGCGUGAGUGAUGAAGGCUUUCGGGUCGUAAAACUCUGUCGUUAGGGAAGAACAAGUGCUAGUUGAAUAAGCUGGCACCUUGACGGUACCUAACCAGAAAGCCACGGCUAACUACGUGCCAGCCGCCGCAGUAA
rnacentral:rRNA from 1 species